CACCUUAUCUUUCCUCCAGCAUAGCUAAGUAGCAGGCAUGCUCAAAUCCUUAGUUGUCACCAUGUGACAUUCAUAAGAAAGAAAUUAAAUAGUUUGGCAGAUCUUACAAACCCUUGCAAAACUUAUCGCACAAAAGUAUAUUUGUUCAACAUAAAUGUGACACAUCUGAAUGUGACUCUGUCACAGGCAAAAAACUGACACUCCCUUCACUGCUCUUAUGAGACAGGCAAGGCAGUUUUGAUCAACUUUGACUUGACACUUACCAGUUUCACAAACUCUGCCAUUCGUGAUAUAAGUCCCUUGCAUCACUUGAGCAUGUAGAAAUGCAAUAUAUGCACCACCUUCCUCAAUAUGAUGUGAAACAGAAAUGCUGACCUUGGCAAUAAACUUAAAUGUCUGUGAAACAUCUGUGAACUCUCUGAUGGUUCGUUUUCGGUGCAGAAAACUGUGGGAAAGUCUUUGAAUGAUAGUUGAGAUAAAGAAGUUUGCUCUCAAAGUUUUGCUGUGCUUUAAGAGUAAUUGAGUUGCAUGUCAUCACAGCCCAACAUUAUCUGAUGACCUUCAGUUCUUAGUGGUUAUAUAUGUACAGAAGUGUAUGGAAUUGUUCAUCUUGCUGGGAAUUCCCUUUAGGGUUUUGAGAAUUUUAUUUUCUUUUAUUUAGGUUGGCUAUAAUAUUGAGGGCAGGCAAGGAGGAGAAAUUUAAUAUAUGCACUGGAAAUUCUGUGAAUAUCAGCAAACUUACAAGCUCCCUGGGGCCUAUAAUGGUCAUUUUCAUGCCACUUAGUACAUGUUUGCAGCAGGUUAUUAUAACUGGGCCAGACUUACUAGACAGCUGCCAAGACACUUAACUUCUUGAAGCUGCAGAUGGGAGAGGUGUUUUCUCUUUUCAGCACUUAGUAUACAAAUGUGUCUACUGCUCUUGAACAGCAGUAGGGUCGUGACUGUUUUCAUUGUACAAUGCAUGAAAGAAGGGUCUCAAACAGUGACUCCUGAAAGAAUGGGUGGCACUGGCAGAGCACUGAAAUAGAUGUGGUGGACUAUUCAUAAAUGAUAACUUUUCAAAGCAAACAUUUGGUUGGAGUAGAUUAGAUUAACUCAAGGUUGAAGGCAAAGGGGUUAGCACUGCACUGACCUGCUAACUGUCUCAGUGGUGCCCCUCUUCCUCCUGGGAAGCAGCAGUGACUCACUUGACAGGAGGUCAGGUAAGGGGACAGGGUGCCAGGCAGGAAGGAGAAGUGGGUCUUGUGUGGAAAGAAGGAGAAACUGUGAAAGGGAGACCUACUUGACUAGCUGUGCCUUCCAAGGAGAAGGCAUGGAUGAAUGCCUUUGGAUGCAGGGAUGAGAGCCUGGAUGAGAGCUUGGGUAUGGGGUGUACACUGGCUUUCCUGCCCAUCCACCCGAUGCUCUGCCCCCUGGAGCAGAACCAUAGAUGGUGGUGGUCUUUCACAAGGGCCUUCCCUGCAAGGAAGGUGCUUACCAAAAUCAGCACCACACAGGAUGGAACCCUCUGCUUACCAGCUGGUAAGCAGGCAGUUCCACCCUACGGGGUGCAGGUUGCUGCUUCUUUGUGAGGGUUCUUCUCUGUAGGGAAGGUGGCACGCGGUUCACUGAUAAGCGGAGCAUUUGGUCCUGCAGGUGCAGGCUCCUGCUCUUUCACCAGGUACUUCCCUGUAGGGGAGGUGGUCAUGAAGGAGCAGCACCAAUUUCUGCAUGCUCUUCUCCAUCAGUUUGAUAUAGAUAUUUGAAGGGCAUGACAGACAAGAUGGAACUUUGCAGCACCCCAUAUGUCAAAGACACUUGUCCUUGUUGUUGUUGUUUAGUCGUGUCCAACUCUUCAUGACCCCAUGGAUCAGAGCACGCCAGGCACUCCUGUCUUCCAAUGCCUCCCGCAGUUUGAUCAAACCCAUGCUGGUAGCUUCGAGAACACUGCCCAACCAUCUCGUCCUCUGUCGUCCCCUUCUCCUUGUGCCUUCAAUCUUUCCCAACAUCAGGGUCUUUUCCAGGGAGUUUUCUCUUCUCAUGAGGUGGCCAGAGUAUUGGAGCCUCAGCUUCACGAUCUGUCCUUCCAGUGAGCACUCAGGGCUGAUUUCUUUAAGAAUGGGAAGGUUUGAUCUUCUUGCAGUCCAUGGGGCUCUCAAGAGUCUCCUCCAGACCAUAAUUCAAAAGCAUCUAUUCUUCGGCGAUCAGCCUUCUUUAUGGUCCAGUUCUCACUUCCAUACAUCACUAUGGAAAAACCAUAGCUUUAACUAUACAGACCUUUGUUGGCAAGGUGAUGUCUCUGCUUUUUAAGAUGCUGUCUAUUUUAAGAUGCUGUCUUAAGAUGCUUGUCCUUAACAGGGGAUUAAGUUUUAUAACCUGUGUGAUCCUUCCACUGCUCUGCUUACAGAUUCUGUAGUAAUGGCCUGCAAGAAAUAUGUAAUUCAGUCCUAAGAUUUACUGGAUUGGCAAAUAAUUUGCAGGGAUGGAACAUCUCAAAUACAGCAGUUGUUGAACCACACUAGCAUUGUAGGGAUGUUACACUGAUGUUGCCAGAAAGCUUAUAUAAACUUCGUGGUCAGGAUGCCAGACGUGGAUUUUCCAAUAUAGGACCACACAGUUUUAUUGAAAUUCAGGACUCAUUAGCUUUAAACUCUAGAAUUUAUUUAUUAAUAGACUGUAAGAAAAAGAUUCUGAAAUGUUGCCAGCAUUACUUAUCAUGAUUAUUUUCUGUCUCACAUGUGUUUUAUUGGAUUUUAAUGAUUAACUUUAAACCAUCUAGAAUGCUGAAAUAGGAUUGCUGCAGGAUUUUGAACUCUUCUUAACUCAUCUUUGUAUCUUAGAUAGUAUUAAAUUAAUAGAAAAUGCAAUACCAGCAUAAAAUUACUAAUCUUGGGUGGCCUUAAUGCUGUGGACUUACGUGUCAGUAUUUUAUUUUCCUUUGUCUGCCAAAAUAAACCAUUUUCUCUUAAAUGCGUGGAAGAUUAAACAGAUAACUAGUUAAUUCCUUAUUCCAGAGUCCCACCUGUUAUUUGCUGUAACCAAGUUACGGUAGAUGUUAUCCAAAGAAAAAAUCUCCUGUAAAUUUGGGGAAGAGCUCAAAUGUUCUUCUGUACCUAAGAAAGGUGUUUAUGGCCAUCCAUAGUGGCUUUGGGGCAUUUCUGAAGCAAGCUCCCCAAAUUUACCAUGGCCUGCAGAUAGAGGAAAGGUUUGCAUAGAUAACAGACCUAUGAUCUAAUGGAGAGGCUGGUUUCUGGAUGGCUUGUUUUGAAUAGCUUACUCCACUCUUUUGUUGUUGCUGUUGUUUUGCUCAGUGCUUUUAUCAUAUUUUAUGUGAUACAAUGAUGCUGUAAACUGCUUUUCCAUGGGCAGUCUUAAUAGCCCUUUCCCUGAAUGUGUGGAAAGAGAAGCAGAAUCAUUUGCUAUCCUCAAUACCUCUCUGCAUGUUGAGCUGAAGGUCUGAAAAGAGCCUAUGAAAAUUUGUGCAGGUUUCCUGAUUACACAGAGCUAAUCUGCAUUCACAGGCUCUAUUAAACUUUUGAUGGGGUAGGGACAGUGGAUGAGAUCACAGUUUAAGCCUGAAGAUGUUCAUUGUCAUUGUCAUGUGAAACGGACAAUGAAGGCCACCCAAAGUAAGGUGAUUCAUGUAGUGAAUCCAUAGGUUAGCCCAAUGUAUUCGUUUCCCACAUCCAGUCUCAUUUGAAUACUUACUCCAGUGAAGUCUCAUUUACUCCUAUGGGAUCGUAAGAUUUGCCAUAUAUUUAGGAUUGUGGUCUUGGAGCUUAACAGAGUCUUUCUUCUGCAGUUGGGAGAUCUGGUUACAAUAAAAUCGCUGACUUUCAUAACGUUAUUAUCUGUCUUAGCCAAAUGUUUUGUUAGGACAAAAGCCAAAUGCUAUUAAUUUAUAUUUCCUGUGUCUGUAAUGACUGUAGAAACUACAUUGUAGUUUUUCUUUCUGAUUUGUUCUUCAAUAUCAUAUAUCAUGAACAGAAAACUGUAGCGUCAACUAAAUAGAUUUGUGCUGGGAAUACCAUGUGGGAACCAAAACUCUAAUUGCAACUACAAGGGAAAAGAACACAAAUAAACCAACACACUGCAUAUUUCUAUACUAUAAGCAACAUUUUUGCUAUACAUCGCUCUGUUGCAUUUAAAGAAUUUGUAUUUUUGGUAGCCUAGUACACCAAUAAGGGGGGAACCUCUGACCCACAGGUUUGAUUAGGCCUGCCAGACUUCACCAUUUGUCCUGCUAGACCAGAGCUUUCCAAACUUUUCAUGUUGGUGGCACACAUUUUAGAUGUGCAUCAUUUUGUGACAUUCAGUUUUACUAGCAAACCAGAGGUUAAACUAACCCCUUUGCAGGAGCGCAGGGAGCGUUUGCGCGACACACCUACACACUGCAGCCGACACAUUAACACGUCACAACAGUUUGGAAAGCUCUGUGCUAGACCAUUUUAUCCAAGCCACACGUAUCCUACACCUGACAUCAUGUAUGAUCAGGUAAAGACGCAGCUGAGCCCAAAGGUUGCAGGCCAGCUGAUCAGCAACACAAAGGAAAACACGUCACCAGAUGCUAUUCAGAGGAGAAAGCCAUGGUGAGCAAGUCCUUGUGAAGCCUUAACAAGGCUCGUUAGGUAAAUCCAGCCACUAUGUUUGUACAUAAGAAUGUAGGGAGUAGAUACCUUCUCUCAGACAGCCCAUCUUCAAAGGCAUUUGUGGGGAAAAGAAAGUGCCAAUUCAAAUGUCAAAAUUAUUUACACAAACUUCUUGAACAUGGACAAUUUAUAAGGUACUUUAAAAAAUCCUAUCUCUACUGCUUGUGAUUUUUUUAAAAAAAUGUUAUUUAUGUACAGCUUUUGUAGGCUACGCUCUUACAAAAUGUUCUGAGGUGGGUUAGUGUAUAUUUUGAAAAUUCAGACACUAGAAUGAUACAGAUAUGAUGCAGCAUACAACUC